ACCUCCGUACGGGAGGCAGCAGGUGGGGAAUAUUGCAACGAAAUCGGGGGAAAGCCCAUGACUGCAGCCCAUGCCGCGUGUGUGAAAAGGCCUUCGGGUUGUAAAGCACUUUCAGUAGGGAGGAAGGUAGUGUAGUUAACACCUGCAUUAUUUGACGUUACCUACAGAAGAAGCACCGGCUAACUCCGUGCCAGCAGCCGCGGUAAUACGGAGGGUGCGAGCGUUAAUCGGAAUUACUGGGCGUAAAGCGCAUGCAGGCGGCCUGUUAAGUCAGAUGUGAAAGCCCGGGGCUUAACCUCGGAAUUGCAUUUGAAACUGGCAGGCUAGAGUCUUGUAGAGGGGGGUAGAAUUUCAGGUGUAGCGGUGAAAUGCGUAGAGAUCUGAAGGAAUACCAGUGGCGAAGGCGGCCCCCUGGACAAAGACUGACGCUCAGAUGCGAAAGCGUGGGGAGCAAACAGGAUUGAGA
rnacentral:rRNA from 1 species